rnacentral:rRNA from 1 species
AGGAUGGGGACAACAUUCCGAAAGGAAUGCUAAUACCGAAUGAAGCGGAGGAGAGGCAUCUCUCUUCCGUGAAAGAUGGCCUCUGAAUAUGCUAUCACCUGUCGAUGGGUCUGCGUCUGAUUAGCUAGUUGGUGAGGUAACGGCUCACCAAAGCGACGAUCGGUAGCCGGACUGAGAGGUCGGACGGCCACAUUGGGACUGAGACACGGCCCAAACUCCUACGGGAGGCAGCAGUGGGGAAUAUUGCACAAUGGGGGAAACCCUGAUGCAGCGACGCCGCGUGAGUGAAGAAGUAUUUCGGUAUGUAAAGCUCUAUCAGCAGGGAAGAUAAUGACAGUACCUGACUAAGAAGCCCCGGCUAACUACGUGCCAGCAGCCGCGGUAAUACGUAGGGGGCAAGCGUUAUCCGGAUUUACUGGGUGUAAAGGGAGCGUAGACGGAAUGGCAAGUCUGAAGUGAAAUACCCGGGCUCAACCUGGGAACUGCUUUGGAAACUGUUGUUCUAGAGUGUUGGAGAGGUAAGUGGAAUUCCUGGUGUAGCGGUGAAAUGCGUAGAUAUCAGGAAGAACACCGGAGGCGAAGGCGGCUUACUGGACAAUAACUGACGUUGAGGCUCGAAAGCGUGGGGAUCAAACAGGAUUAGAUACCCUGGUAGUCCACGCUGUAAACGAUGAAUACUAGGUGUCGGGGUGCAAAGCAUCUCGGUGCCGUCGCUAACGCAAUAAGUAUUCCACCUGGGGAGUACGUUCGCAAGAAUGAAACUCAAAGGAAUUGACGGGGACCCGCACAAGCGGUGGAGCAUGUGGUUUAAUUCGAAGCAACGCGAAGAACCUUACCAAGUCUUGACAUCCUUUGACCACUCUAGAGAUAGAGCUUUCCCUUCGGGGACAAAGUGACAGGUGGUGCAUGGUUGUCGUCAGCUCGUGUCGUGAGAUGUUGGGUUAAGUCCCGCAACGAGCGCAACCCUUAUUGUUAGUUGCCAUCAUUGAGUUGGGCACUCUAGCGAGACUGCCGGUAAUAAACCGGAGGAAGGUGGGGAUGACGUCAAAUCAUCAUGCCCCUUAUGACCUGGGCUACACACGUGCUACAAUGGCUGGUACAACGAGUCGCAAGCCGGUGACGGCAAGCUAAUCUCUUAAAGCCAGUCUCAGUUCGGAUUGUAGGCUGCAACUCGCCUACAUGAAGUCGGAAUCGCUAGUAAUCGCGGAUCAGCACGCCGCGGUGAAUACGUUCCCGGGCCUUGUACACACCGCCCGUCACACCACGAGAGUUUGUAACACCCGAAGUCGGUGAGGUAACCUUUUGGAGCCAGCCGCCUAAGGUGGGAUAGAUGAUUGGGGUGAAGUCGUAACAAGGUAGCCGUAUCGGAAGGUGCGGCUG